UACGUAGGGACCAAGCGUUGUUCGGAUUUACUGGGCGUAAAGGGCGCGUAGGCGGCAUGACAAGUCACUUGUGAAAUCUCCGGGCUUAACUCGGAACGGUCAAGUGAUACUGUCGCGCUAGAGUGCGGAAGGGGCAAUCAGAAUUCUUGGUGUAGCGGUGAAAUGCGUAGAUAUCAAGAGGAAUACCUGAGGUGAAGACGGGUUGCUAGGCCGACACUGACGCUGAAGCGCGAAAGCUAGGGGAGCGAACAGG
rnacentral:rRNA from 1 species